rnacentral:rRNA from 1 species
AAUAAGAACUUAAAAAAAAAAUUAUGCUGUUAUCCCUAAGGUAAUUAAUUUUAAAAAUUUAAAUUUUAAGAUUAUUUUAUUUAUAUUAAAUAUAAAAUUAUUCAUUAAUUUAUGUUUUUUAAAAAAAAAAUUUAAUAAAUUUUUAAAUUACCCCAAUUAAAUUUUUUAUUAAAAAAAUUUUUUAAAAAAAAAUAAAAUUCUAUAGGGUCUUAUCGUCUUAUAAAUUUAUUUUAGUUUUUUUACUAAAAUAAUAAAUUCAAUUAAUUUUAUUGAUACAGAUUUUAUUUCAUUAAAUCAUUCAUUCUAGUUUUUAAUUAAAAAACAAAUUAUUAUGCUACCUUAGUACAGUUAUUUAUACUGCAGCCA